CCUACGGGUGGCAGCAGUGGGGAAUAUUGCACAAUGGGGGAAACCCUGAUGCAGCGACGCCGCGUGAAGGAAGAAGUAUUUCGGUAUGUAAACUUCUAUCAGUAGGGAAGUAAAUGACGGUACCUGACUAAGAAGCCCUGGCUAACUACGUGCCAGCAGCCGCGGUAAUACGUAGGGGGCAAGCGUUAUCCGGAUUUACUGGGUGUAAAGGGAGCGUAGGCGGCGAUGCAAGUCAGAAGUGAAAGCCCGGGGAUCAACUCCGGGACUGCAUUUGAAACCGUAUGGCUAGAUUGCAGGUGAGGCAAGUGGAAUUCCUGGUGUAGCGGUGAAAUGCGUAGAUAUUAGGAAGAACACCAGUGGCGAAGGCGGCUUGCUGGACUGUAAAUGACGCUGAGGCUCGAAAGCGUGGGGAGCAAACAGGAUUAGAUACCCUGGUAGUC
rnacentral:rRNA from 1 species